rnacentral:snRNA from 1 species
AUACUUACCUGGCAGAGGAAGCACCGUGACCACAUAGGCGGGCUCCCCAGGGCAGGUGAUUGUCUCUGAUAUGUCCUCCAUCGGAGGUCUAUAUUGAGCAGAUUCUUUUUGGUGUUGGGUAGUGGAACUGGAGCUUGUUCCAUCCACUC